UACUAGAAAUCUGUUCAUAGACAUCACAUGUUUUAAAUCGGUCAGACUUGCCCACGAUGUAAAAAAGUAAUCUAACAUCGUUUUACGAAAAUACCGAUUUAAAUGUAUGUCAUUAACACCAGUUCUUAAAAUGACCGGUGUUAAAAGUUUAGUUCGAAAAUUUGCGGGAACCUAUUUUUGCAAAAAAACGCUAAGUUUUUAAGUGAAAUGAAGAAGCGGGGACUAAAACUCAAAACUUUCACACUUAGAAAAAAAAUUGCGCCCAAAUAGAAACAGAUGGAAAACCCUAAUGUUACUCUCCCUCGACCUCCUUCAUUCUGAACUCCUCCCAAACUAGAUCUCCUCCCAAACUCGACCUCCAUUCUGGACCCUAAGCUCACUCGAACUCGCCGCCAUUCUGGAGCUCCUCAUUGCUUCCUUCAUCUCCCUCUCUCUCCCUCCCUAGUUUCACAGGUAGCUAGCUCACACAAAUCGAGCCAUGGCUCCUCCCAGUAUUCUCGGUCCUCCCGAGUUCCACAAACCCUCACCCACCACCACCGCUCCGCGCGCCACCCCAACCCAAAUCCAAACCCGACUCCAAACCCACCACCGGCGAAUCCUUCGUGGACCUGAUGGUGGCGAAUUUCAACGACGUCGGAACCAAGCACGACCUCCCAAUGGGCCUGACGGAGAACGACUCUGCCACGUUUCUCUCCACCGGCAACCCCUGCCUCGAUCUCUUCUUCCACGUCAUCCCAAACACUCCAGGCGACUACCUCACGUCCUCACCGAUGGGACUCCAAUGGUGGCCAGUGUCGUGUCACUGGAUUCUUCCUUUAUCGCAAUCACUUCAUCUUCUUCACCUUCAUAUUCUUCUUCGUUUUUAACGAAACUAAGGCACGCGCCGAGUCUGUGACUUUGUUUUGCAGUCACGCCCUUGAGUGGGAAGAAGCACAUGGCUCACACAAUUGCUCACAUCACUCUCGGCCUCACUCAGAUUUCUUCUGUCUUUGAAGCCCCAAAGUGAUGUUCUACAGGUAGAGGUUCUGGGCUGUUGGUUGGGCUGAUUGGGAAAAGGUGAAGUUUUCAAAGGUUGAAUUGCUCCCAAAAGGCUUGGAAAUCCGGACUGAAGUUUUCAAAGGUGAACUUUUUUAUUUUUUGCGUAUCUUGAACGAGGUUGAGUAUGUUAUACUGUUUCCACUCAAUAUUUGGAGUGCGAAAUCUUGCCAAUGUUCUCACACCUGGUUCAUUUUAGCUUUACUAUUGCCAUUUUGGUGGGCCAUACUUGUAAUUUUUAUGUUGAUUGAGUUAUAUCUAGUAUUGCUAUGUGCUUGCUUCCUCGAAGGCUUGGAAAUCCGGUUUCAAUUGCUCGCAACAGGAUUGGAAAUCUGGUUUCUUUCACAGAAGAUUUUCCUCUGCUGAACUUGCUACGAGGACUGGUAUAAUCUAGGUGGUUUUCAGGUAGGAGGUGGGAUCAAUUCAGAUAAUUCUUUGCAAUACAUAGAAGAAGGGGCUACCCACGUCAUUGUCACUUCUGAAGGUAAAUAUGCAAUUGUCACAGAUAGAUGGCAAAAGUUCAGUGACGUGUAUCUUGACAAGGAAAUAUUAGACUUCAUUGCCAAGUAUGCAGACGAGUUUCUGGUACAUGGUGUCGAUGUGGAAGGGAAAAAGUAAGUCAUUUUUAUUGCCAUACAUGUUUCUUUACACAAUACAUAUGCUUACAUAAGUGCGGCAGAAAUAUAGAUAUUUAAAUAAAUGCUCAUGAAAACCAUUUCCUUGUGCGAGUCUUUUUUUAUAUUUUGUCUGUUUCUUUAUAUGGUCACACUCUUUUUGUUGUUAUCAAGAAAACAUAUUUUACCAAUAAAUUAGAAUAGUUGAGGAAAUUUGGUGGAUUCCCGAAUUAUAAAUUACUACUGAUUUUACUACUGUUCAGAACAUAGUGUAUAUGUUCUUUGGUUUACCAAGAGUCGAAGUAGUUUAGAUUGAAAAGAUUUGGCUUAUUGCUGCUUUUUCCGUUAGUUUUAGGCAGUGUUUGGUGAGACUUCUUCUGAUAAUCAACUAGCAGAAGAACAUAUGUAUAGCUGGUUUGACUUUUGAAGAUGAUCCAGUCGAUAAAAGUGAAAAGCUGGAACGAGAUGGGAAACAAUGGGUUGAUAUGUGCUCUUCAAGGUGUUAUGUACCCAGAGUGCAUGAUAAUGUCCUGCUGCAAAAGUGGCUAUGUGAGAAUAAUACAAAACGUUUUCUUUAGCAUAAUUUACCCCAACCUAACACUGGCUGACCUGAAUAAAGAACUGUUCAGUAAUUGGUGCUAGGGUAGGUAUUCACAAUCUGGUCAGUUCAAGUGUGUUUAUUAUACAAAUAAAUAAAAGCACAUUUAUGUAGAUUAUGUUAAAUUUCUACUUGUUUCUGACUAUAUCAGGAGCUCAGUUAAGGCCCUGGAAGUCUCUCAUUUUGCUAGUUACUGAUGUCACUGAAAACAUGUGCAUAUAAGUAUACCAUUUUUCUUGUGCUCCUUGAAUCCUGUUUUCUUUUUCUUUUUCUUUUUAUGGAGAAGAGUGCUCCUUGAAUCCUUAAGCCUGAUACUCUUAACUUUCAUUUUAUCUUGUGCUUUACAGAUUAUGAAAAUAAUGUUUCUGAAUACAGGGUUUGUGCAUCUGGCUUCUGUUAUCCUUAUUCUUAUCUUUUCCCAUCAAGUUCUUUAUAUGGGCAGUUUUAUUAUACUGUUUUCCUAUGAUACAUCAUAACUGCUUCUUGGAGUUGUUGUGAUAGUGUUUUUUUUUUUUUUUUUUU